rnacentral:rRNA from 1 species
GACGAACGCUGGCGGCGUGCUUAACACAUGCAAGUCGAACGGUGAAGGGGAGCUUGCUCCCCGGAUCAGUGGCGAACGGGUGAGUAACACGUGGGCAACCUGCCCCAGACUUCGGGAUAACGCUUCGAAAGAGGUGCUAAUACCGGAUACGAACUCCUUGGGCAUCCUGGGGGUUGGAAAGUUUUUCGGUCUGGGAUGGGCCCGUGGCCUAUCAGCUUGUUGGUGAGGUAACGGCUCACCAAGGCGACGACGGGUAGCCGGCCUGAGAGGGCGACCGGCCACACUGGGACUGAGACACGGCCCAGACUCCUACGGGAGGCAGCAGUGGGGAAUAUUGCGCAAUGGGCGAAAGCCUGACGCAGCAACGCCGCGUGAGGGAUGACGGCCUUCGGGUUGUAAACCUCUUUCAGUAGGGACGAAGCGCAAGUGACGGUACCUACAGAAGAAGGACCGGCCAACUACGUGCCAGCCGCCGCAGUAA